UACGUAGGGUGCAAGCGUUAAUCGGAAUUACUGGGCGUAAAGCGUGCGCAGGCGGCUUUGCAAGACAGAUGUGAAAUCCCCGGGCUUAACCUGGGAACUGCAUUUGUGACUGCAUGGCUGGAGUGCGGCAGAGGGGGAUGGAAUUCCGCGUGUAGCAGUGAAAUGCGUAGAUAUGCGGAGGAACACCGAUGGCGAAGGCAAUCCCCUGGGCCUGCACUGACGCUCAUGCACGAAAGCGUGGGGAGCAACAGGAUUAGAUA
rnacentral:rRNA from 1 species